UCCUACGGGUGGCAGCAGUGAGGAAUAUUGGUCAAUGGACGCAAGUCUGAACCAGCCAUGCCGCGUGAAGGAUGAAGGCCUUCUGGGUUGUAAACUUCUUUUAUGUGGGAAGAAAAGCAUUGUUUCUACGAUGUCCGACGGUACCACAGGAAUAAGCACCGGCUAACUCCGUGCCAGCAGCCGCGGUAAUACGGAGGGUGCAAGCGUUAUCCGGAUUCACUGGGUUUAAAGGGUGUGUAGGCGGGCAAUUAAGUCAGUGGUGAAAUCUCCGGGCUCAACCUGGAAACUGCCAUUGAUACUAUUUGUCUUGAAUAUUGUUGAGGUGGGCGGAAUAAGUCAUGUAGCGGUGAAAUGCAUAGAUAUGACUUAGAACACCAAUUGCGAAGGCAGCUCACUAAACAAUGAUUGACGCUGAGGCACGAAAGCGUGGGGAUCAAACAGGAUUAGAUACCCCUGUAGUC
rnacentral:rRNA from 1 species